GACAGGGGAUGCAAGCGUUAUCCGGAAUGAUUGGGCGUAAUGCGUCUAUAGGUGGCUUUUCAAGUCCGCCAUCAAAUCCCAGGGCUCAACCCUGGACAGGCGGUGGAAACUACCAAGCGUGGAGUACGGUAGGGGCAAAGGGAAUUUACCAGUGGAGCAGUGAAAUGCAUUGAGAUCGGAAAGAACACCAACGGCGAAAUCACUCUACUGGGCCAACACUGACACUGAGAGACGAAAGCUAGGGGAGCAAAUGGG
rnacentral:rRNA from 1 species